UACGAAGGGGGCUAGCGUUGCUCGGAAUCACUGGGCGUAAAGCGCACGUAGGCGGCUUCUUAAGUCAGGGGUGAAAUCCUGGAGCUCAACUCCAGAACUGCCCUUGAUACUGAGGAGCUUGAGUCCGGGAGAGGUGAGUGGAACUGCGAGUGUAGAGGUGAAAUUCGUAGAUAUUCGCAAGAACACCAGUGCCGAAGGCGGCGCACUGGCCCGGUACUGACGCUGAGGUGCGAAAGCGUGGGGAGCAAACAGG
rnacentral:rRNA from 1 species